UACGUAGGGUGCAAGCGUUAAUCGGAAUUACUGGGCGUAAAGCGUGCGCAGGCGGUUCGCUAAGACCGAUGUGAAAUCCCCGGGCUUAACCUGGGAACUGCAUUGGUGACUGGCGGGCUAGAGUAUGGCAGAGGGGGGUAGAAUUCCACGUGUAGCAGUGAAGUGCGUAGAGAUGUGGAGGAAUACCGAUGGCGAAGGCAGCCCCCUGGGCCAAUACUGACGCUCAUGCACGAAAGCGUGGGGAGCAAACAGG
rnacentral:rRNA from 1 species